GAUAAUGCAAACAAUUUGAUUUUUUAAUAAUUUAUGCAAUGGGCACCUACGUCGCAGGACCUCAAUUUUUCGUUUAGUUACCUGUUUUGUUUUUGUUUUUUUUUUUUUUUUUUUUUAAAGUACAUAGGUACCAUGGAUCUCCAUAUGAUACAAUUUUAACAUGUGGUUUUUUACCGCAGUAUGUUAUGAUAUGAAAAUACAGGAAAUGAUUUUAUUUUAAAAUACCAAUUGUACCUACCUACAUUAGCGGGAAACUAAUAUUGUUCCCUAUUCAUCAUUCAAUUUUCCUGCAAGUGAUUCAACAUAAGUCCACAAAUUGGAUUCUUCAUCUCCAUAUAUGGUACCAGAAUAUUUUUCAAUUCGUGAUGAUACGUACUAAACAGCUCUCAAGUUGAUAAAAAAUUACUGCGAUGUACGUGCUAUCAAAUUUGAAAAUCAUCAAAGUUUUGUCAAAUCAAGUACACCGAAGGGAAAAAAUAGAAUGAUCUAAUAGUUCUAUUCUGCAUCCGGCGUCACGACCACUCAUUUGCAUACAUAAGUCAUUUUGAUGAGUAAGUAUGUAUAGAUAUACCUCUAUAGUACAUAUAAAGGGCCUGCAUUUUUCUCUCCCAAUGCAUAAUUUGUUCUAAAAUUAAUUGGCAACGGUGUGGAUACUAGAUGUUCGUCGAAUUGAACUUAUGGUAAAAUUAGUGUUAUUGUGUUGUGGUGACUACAUACCUAAAACAAUUUGACUUCAAGCAAAGAAAAGCGGAAAACAGAGAUGUCAACGAAAACAAUUCGUAUUUUGAUAGCGGUACUAACAGUGUGGAUUUCGGGCACAGUGCAGGAGGAUGGAGUUUAUUAUUUCCCUGUAUUUAUUAUACAUAAAGUCCCUUCUACAAUUCAGUUUCGUGAUGGGGGCUCAUCUAACGAGGUCAAAUUUCAGAUACUUCCGAAUGAAUCUUUGUCACUCGAUUGCGGAGUAGAUGCCCACUCUUACCCUCUGAACUACACAUGGCUCAAAUUCGAUGAAAUGCUGCCCAACCAGCUAUAUAAACCAGAAAUUCUGUCCGUGAAAUCAGACUUUAAAAGUAGAAAUUCAAUGCACUACAAGUGCAUAGUUUGUAAUGAGAAGGUUUGCGUGAAACGUUAUUAUGAUGUUACCAUUUUAAGGGCAAGACAUUAUUAUAAUGUUACCAUUUUCAGCGCAACAAAUCCAGAAUAUUUGGAAAAAUGUGUUGGUGAGUCAGUCGAUCUUGUGUGUGAGUUAUACGACCGAUUUCGAAGGAUUGAAUGGUAUGGUCCAUACAAAGCACGUCCAAAUUCAUCAUAUGAUCCCGACGCUGAUCUUAAUGCUAUGGUGAGUAUUCCACGAGCAAAGUGCACUUAUAUGUCGUCUCAAACACCAGCCAUGUAGUAAAUAAGUUCUACAACACCAUUCAUGAUGCGAAUAUUCUUAUGAGU